AGGUCAAGCCCAUCACGAGUGAGGCCACGCCCCCUUUGUGGGUCGCCGCGCGAGACUCCCGUUUUCAUCAACCAGACAGUUAGGAGGAGGACACAGCUUGAGAGGAGGAGACUGCUUUAAAAUUAGAGAGACAUUUCAAGUGUGUGCUCUUGGUGCCAACAACAUUGUUCUUUGCAUAAUUAUUCCCUUCUGACACAAAUAAUCUUGGCCAGAUAUUUUAGCACAGUACCAAAAGUAAGCACUGAGCAUAAAGAUAGAAAUUCUACUAAAACCACAAAACUGGGCGAGGAUCGGGUGGAGAUUAGCCAGCAAUGCCUUGUUAGAAGUGAUUUCACUUACAAAUAUCAUACUAGUAACAUAAAUGUCCACAAAAGUCAUCAUCUGACAAAAGUAACAAAAAUGAAAGAAUAUUGUACAGAAGAAAUAAAGCUGGGGUCUUCUUGAAGUUUCAUCUUAUAAUGGACUGAAGCUGCUUUAUGUUCAGUUUUAUGAGGUUUGUUUGGUGACCCCACAUCAAAGUCCACCCUCAUACCACAGUAACUAAUAAAACUUCGCAAUUUUUGUGGAGUGAAAAUUACCAUUUACUACCUGAUGCAGCAAGGGAAGCCACAAAAAAAAGAGAACCCAGCCCAACAAUUAUUACAUUUUGAUAAUCCUCCACUGCAAACUGCAAACCUAUUUUUUCAUGGAUCUUACUUCGUAAUGUACAUCCUGACUCAACCAAACUCCUGUCCUCAGCCUAUUCAAUUCUCUGCUCCCCUGCCGACAACGCCAAGGGGCGCCCCAAACCCAUGCACUUUGGCAGAAAUCUUGGCACUUGCCCCAGCAGAUGGAGUGUCAGCAAUAAGGUGCAGCUCUUGAUGAAGUUGGAAAACAAAAUGCGUUGGUCUGGGACCAGGAAAUGACUAGACCUGAUCAGGUGGAGGAGAAUCAGAGACCAGGAGGAAUCUAUAGUAUUUAGGUUCCGUGGUUCGGUGGGCUGGUGAAUUACCUGUAUUUGGAAACUUACACAUUUGGUACUAUUAAAGUUUUGUUUUUAAGCAU